GAUGAACGCUGGCGGCGUGCCUAAUACAUGCAAGUCGAGCGAACGGACGAGAAGCUUGCUUCUCUGAUGUUAGCGGCGGACGGGUGAGUAACACGUGGAUAACCUACCUAUAAGACUGGGAUAACUUCGGGAAACCGGAGCUAAUACCGGAUAAUAUUUUGAACCGCAUGGUUCAAAAGUGAAAGACGGUCUUGCUGUCACUUAUAGAUGGAUCCGCGCUGCAUUAGCUAGUUGGUAAGGUAACGGCUUACCAAGGCAACGAUGCAUAGCCGACCUGAGAGGGUGAUAGGCCACACUGGAACUGAGCCAGGGUCAAGACUCCUACGGGAGGCAGCAGUAGGGAAUCUUCCGCAAUGGGCGAAAGCCUGACGGAGCAACGCCGCGUGAGUGAUGAAGGUCUUCGGAUCGUAAAACUCUGUUAUUAGGGAAGAACAUAUGUGUAAGUAACUGUGCACAUCUUGACGGUACCUAAUCAGAAAGCCACGGCUAACUACGUG
rnacentral:rRNA from 1 species